CAAAUAAAACCUUAAUUCUGUUGUAUCCACCUUUCUAGAUAGUGCUUCUCCAUACUAUCUGCUGGACUCCUUGUUCUGACCUAGAAUGCCUGGCUUUGAGACUCUCAGAAUGUUUGUCUGCAUUCCACUAAACCUGGUUUCUUCCUUGACUCAUGGCAUUUGUUCUCUCAGUGGUGGAGUGUGAAGGUACUGCCCUGCUUAUUAUGGUACUCUGAUUCUUAACUAUCAUACACAUCUGCUCACUCACAAGACUAUAUCCUCUCCUACAGCACAGGUAAACCUUUUUUCCUGAUAUUUAUACCAAAA